rnacentral:lncRNA from 1 species
GGGUACAGAUAUCCUUACAGCUGGGUGCGCAACUCACCCUUCUUUGCAGCAGCUCCGAACGCAAUUGACUCACGGUAGACGCCGUGGCUCCGUUAAAUGAUCAAGGGGGAGGAGCCACGAUGGGGCGGGGCGUGGAGGAGGCGUGGCCUCGUAGGGGAUUUCCAUACUGUCGAUCCGCGCGACGGAUGGCCCGAUACCUGGAAACCUUCACAAGUGAAACGGACACACGCUCGAAGUCGGAACACUGCAGCUGCUCCCACACCCGCUGACGGAGAACUGCGCGCCAACACCUUCAAGGACUUCACACUCAGCCUUAGGCCAGAGCACAAUGGAGUCAACAUUUCAGCAGCAGAAGUAGUGAAUACUCUGACCCCUCAUAUUAUGAAUACAAAUGCAAUCGAAACUUUUGUUUGUUACUUGAUUUUUUUGUAAGUGCAACUGCACUUUUAUUCCAAGGUCACAGUCAAUAAAAGCUGCACAAUAUGGCCA